rnacentral:rRNA from 1 species
AUUGAACGCUGGCGGCAUGCCUUACACAUGCAAGUCGAACGGCAGCGGACCUUCGGGUGCCGGCGAGUGGCGAACGGGUGAGUAAAGUAUCGGAACGUACCUUUCAGUGGGGGAUAACGUAGCGAAAGUUACGCUAAUACCGCAUAUUCUGUGAGCAGGAAAGCAGGGGAUCGCAAGACCUUGCGCUGAUUGAGCGGCCGAUAUCAGAUUGGCUAGUUGGUGAGGUAAAGGCUCACCAAGGCGACGAUCUGUAGCGGGUCUGAGAGGAUGAUCCGCCACACUGGAACUGAGACACGGUCCAGACUCCUACGGGAGGCAGCAGUGGGGAAUUUUGGACAAUGGGGGCAACCCUGAUCCAGCCAUGCCGCGUGAGUGAAGAAGGCCUUCGGGUUGUAAAGCUCUUUCGGCCGGGAAGAAAUCGCAUAGGUUAAUACCCUGUGUGGAUGACGGUACCGGAAUAAGAAGCACCGGCUAACUACGUGCCAGCCGCCGCAGUAACAC